rnacentral:piRNA from 1 species
CCUCCGCAGCAUGGAGCAACUGGGCUACU